rnacentral:rRNA from 1 species
ACUCCUACGGGAGGCAGCAGUGGGGAAUUUUGCGCAAUGGGCGAAAGCCUGACGCAGCAACGCCGCGUGAGUGAUGAAGGCUUUCGGGUCGUAAAGCUCUGUCGAGGGGAAAGAAGUGUAUUGUGGCUAAUAUCCACGAUACUUGACGGUACCCCUAAAGGAAGCACCGGCUAACUCCGUGCCAGCAGCCGCGGUAAUACGGGGGGUGCAAGCGUUGUUCGGAAUUAUUGGGCGUAAAGAGCGUGUAGGCGGUUUGUUUAGUCUGAUGUGAAAGCCCUGGGCUCAACCCAGGAAGUGCAUUGGAUACUGGCAGACUUGAAUACGGGAGAGGGUAGUGGAAUUCCUAGUGUAGGAGUGAAAUCCGUAGAUAUUAGGAGGAACACCGGUGGCGAAGGCGGCUGCCUGGACCGAUAUUGACGCUGAGACGCGAAAGCGUGGGUAGCAAACAGGAUUAGAUGCCCUGGUAGUCCACGCCGUAAACGAUGAGAACUAGGUGUUGCGGGUA